GACGAACGCUGGCGGCGUGCUUAACACAUGCAAGUCGAACGGAAAGGCCCUGCUUUUGUGGGGUGCUCGAGUGGCGAACGGGUGAGUAACACGUGAGUAACCUGCCCUUGACUUUGGGAUAACUUCAGGAAACUGGGGCUAAUACCGGAUAGGAGCUCCUGCUGCAUGGUGGGGGUUGGAAAGUUUCGGCGGUUGGGGAUGGACUCGCGGCUUAUCAGCUUGUUGGUGGGGUAGUGGCUUACCAAGGCUUUGGCGGGUAGCCGGCCUGAGAGGGUGACCGGCCACAUUGGGACUGGGAUACGGCCCAGACUCCUACGGGAGGCAGCAGUGGGGAAUAUUGCACAAUGGGCGGAAGCCUGAUGCAGCAACGCCGCGUGCGGGAUGACGGCCUUCGGGUUGUAAACCGCUUUCGCCUGUGACGAAGCGUGAGUGACGGUAAUGGGUAAAGAAGCACCGGCUAACUACGUG
rnacentral:rRNA from 1 species